rnacentral:rRNA from 1 species
CACGUAGGGCGCAAGCGUUGUCCGGAAUUAUUGGGCGUAAAGAGCUCGUAGGCGGUCUGUUGCGUCCGCUGUGAAAACUCGGGGCUUAACCCCGAGCCUGCAGUGGAUACGGGCAGACUAGAGGUGAGGUAGGGGAGAAUGGAAUUCCCGGUGUAGCGGUGAAAUGCGCAGAUAUCGGGAGGAACACCGGUGGCGAAGGCGGUUCUCUGGGCCUUACCUGAC